GAUGAACGCUGGCGGCGUGCCUAACACAUGCAAGUCGAGCGAUUUACUUCGGUAAAGAGCGGCGGACGGGUGAGUAACGCGUGGGUAACCUGCCCUGUACACACGGAUAACAUACCGAAAGGUAUGCAAAUACGAGAUAAUAUGCUUUUAUCGCAUGGUAGAAGUAUCAAAGCUUUUGCGGUACAGGAUGGAUCCGCGUCUGAUUAGCUAGUUGGUGAGGUAACGGCACACCAAGGCGACGAUCAGUAGCCGACCUGAGAGGGUGAUCCGCCACAUUGGAGCUAGGACACGGUCCAAACUCCUACGGGAGGCAGCAGUGGGGAAUAGUGCACAAUGGGCGAAAGCCUGAUGCAGCAACGCCGCGUGAGCGAUGAAGGCCGUCGGGACGUAAAGCUCUGUCAUCAAGGAAGAUAAUGACGGUACUUGAGGAGAAAGCCCCGGCUAACUACGUG
rnacentral:rRNA from 1 species